AUGGCUGGCGUCAGCUCGUGUCGUGAGAUGUUGGGUUAAGUCCCGCAACGAGCGCAACCCACGUCUUUAGUUGCCAGCAUUCAGUUGGGCACUCUAGAGAGACCGCCGGUGAUAAACCGGAGGAAGGUGUGGAUGACGUCAAGUCAUCAUGCCCCUUACAUCCUGGGCUACACACGUACUACAAUGCUACGGACAAAGGGCAGCAAACUCGCGAGAGCUAGCAAAUCCCAUAAACCGUGGCUCAGUUCAGAUCGUAGGCUGCAACUCGCCUACGUGAAGGAGGAAUCGCUAGUAAUCGCAGGUCAGCAUACUGCGGUGAAUACGUUCCCGGGCCUUGUACACACCGCCCGUCACACCAUGGAAGUUGGCCAUGCCCGAAGUCGUUACUCCAACCCGCAAGGGAGGAGGACGCCGAAGGUGGGGCUGAUGACUGGGGUGAAGUCGUAACAAGGUAGCCGUACCGGAAGGUGCGGCUGGAUCACCUCCUAAC
rnacentral:rRNA from 1 species